CGCAAACCCCACCUUGGAGGCUUUCCUCUCUUGAAAACUAAACCAAAAAGGUUCUGGACUAAGGACAACAGGCAUGGAGGGAGCAGGAGUGGGAUGCAGCCCUGACUACAGUCUCAAACCCUGAACCAACAUGAACUUUCAUGAGUGCAACCCAUUUAAACGGAAUAUUGUCUGGGAGGAAGAACCAAACUCCAUGCAAUCCUAGUGUCCUCAGACAGUCUCUCUCUCACUUGUGGGAUAACCCUAAGUGAAUAAGAGCUGGUGUGACUUGAGCUCACAUUGAUCUUCAGGGUGGUACCCCUGUGCUCCAACAUGUUUCCAAGAGGCGUCUGGGUAUUCGGAUGCCAGACCACCAACAUGGAUGCCUGAUCGAAAGCAGAGACUCUGUAGCUGUUCAUUUGUAUCAUCAAGCUCUGAAGAUGACUUGCAGCCCAUCUCCACUUCCAUGGAGGUUUCCUAGGCCCAGGAAAAGGAAGUGUACAGUGGAAUUUUCCAGAGGCUACAUGAUGCAACAGAUUGAAUGCAGAAGCAAGAUAUGAGAAUCCAGCUGUCUUCAUUUGCACUACAUGUUAAAGAGCUUUGCAGAAAUGUGAAACAAUGCCACUUUUCUAAUUUUUUUGUUUUGGAAAAUAAACUUUUGGUAAAAAUAUGUUAUUUAUAUUAACAUGUAAAUGUUUUAUGAUUGUUAUUUUAAAUAAAUUAAUAAAAACAU
rnacentral:lncRNA from 1 species